rnacentral:rRNA from 1 species
AAGCGGUGGAUGAUGUGGUUUAAUUCGAUAGCAACGCGAAAACCUUACCACCUUUGACAUGGCAGGAAUCCCGAAGAGAUUUGGGAGUGCUCGAAAGAGAACCUGCACACAGGUGCUGCAUGGCUGUCGUCAGCUCGUGUCGUGAGAUGUUGGGUUAAGUCCCGCAACGAGCGCAACCCUUGCCAUUAGUUGCUACGAAAGGGCACUCUAAUGGGACUGCCGGUGACAAACCGGAGGAAGGUGGGGAUGACGUCAAGUCCUCAUGGCCCUUAUAGGUGGGGCUACACACGUCAUACAAUGGCCGGUACAGAGGGUAGCCAACCCGCGAGGGGGAGCCAAUCCCACAAAGCCGGUCGUAGUCCGGAUCGCAGUCUGCAACUCGACUGCGUGAAGUCGGAAUCGCUAGUAAUCGCGGAUCAGCAUGUCGCGGUGAAUACGUUCCCGGGUCUU